UACGGAGGAUCCAAGCGUUAUUCGGAUUUAUUGGGUUUAAAGGGUGCGUAGGUGGCCUGUUAAGUCAGGGGUGAAAGACGGUAGCUUAACUAUCGCAGUGCCCUUGAUACUGAUGGGCUUGAAUGAACUAGAGGUAGGCGGAAUGUGACAAGUAGCGGUGAAAUGCAUAGAUAUGUCACAGAACACCAAUUGCGAAGGCAGCUUACUAUGGUUUUAUUGACACUGAGGCACGAAAGCGUGGGGAUCAAACAGG
rnacentral:rRNA from 1 species